AGCUAAUAGAUACCCCGGUAGUCCUAGCUGUAAACGAUGCUCGCUAGGUGUCAGGCACGGUGCGUCCGUGUUUGGUGCCGUAGGGAAGCCGAGAAGCGAGCCACCUGGGAAGUACGGUCGCAAGGCUGAAACUUAAAGGAAUUGGCGGGGGAGCACUACAACGGGUGGAGCCUGCGGUUUAAUUGGAUUCAACGCCGGAAAUCUCACCGGGUGCGACAGCAAUAUGUAGGUCAGGCUGAAGGUCUUACCUGAAUCGCUGAGAGGAGGUGCAUGGCCGUCGUCAGUUCGUACUGUGAAGCAUCCUGUUAAGUCAGGCAACGAGCGAGACCCGCGCCCACAGUUGCCAGCAUGUUCUCCGGAACGAUGGGCACACUGUGGGGACCGCCGCUGCUAAAGCGGAGGAAGGAACGGGCUACGGUAGGUCAGUAUGCUCCGGAUCUCCCGGGCUACACGCGGGCUACAAUGGUUGGGACAAUGGGCA
rnacentral:rRNA from 1 species